rnacentral:rRNA from 1 species
AUUGAACGCUGGCGGCAGGCCUAACACAUGCAAGUCGAACGGUAACAGGAAGCAGCUUGCUGCUUUGCUGACGAGUGGCGGACGGGUGAGUAAUGUCUGGGAAACUGCCCGAUGGAGGGGGAUAACUACUGGAAACGGUAGCUAAUACCGCAUAACGUCGCAAGACCAAAGAGGGGGACCUUAGGGCCUCUUGCCAUCGGAUGUGCCCAGAUGGGAUUAGCUAGUAGGUGGGGUAACGGCUCACCUAGGCGACGAUCCCUAGCUGGUCUGAGAGGAUGACCAGCCACACUGGAACUGAGACACGGUCCAGACUCCUACGGGAGGCAGCAGUGGGGAAUAUUGCACAAUGGGCGCAAGCCUGAUGCAGCCAUGCCGCGUGUAUGAAGAAGGCCUUCGGGUUGUAAAGUACUUGCAGCGGGGAGGAAGGGAGUAAAGUUAAUACCUUUGCUCAUUGACGUUACCCGCAGAAGAAGCACCGGCUAACUCCGUG